GGCGGAGAGCGAGGCGCUGGCCAUGAGGAAGCAGGCCCAGGGGCUGACCCAGGAGUACGACCGGCUGCUGGAGGAACACGGCAAACUGCAGAUGCUGCGGGAGGGACCGAAGGACAAGAAGGAGGAGUGAUGGCUCUUCCCCUCCCCCCCUUCUGGCUGCCUGUGUUGCUUUCAGUGGGUGGGGCCUCUCUUGGACCACGCCCCCUGCUCUACAGUGGGUGGAGCCUACAGUAUUCAGUGGGGGGGGCUCGGCUCCCCUCCCCCAAUGGGGCUCUGACCUUCCCCCUCUGCUCCCAGGAGGUGGGGCUGCUGUGCUCACCCCCAUCACUGGGCUGGGCCUAUUCCAAGCAGGGGUGUCAGAGCCCCUGUGCCUCAGUUUCCCCUCUGUGUGAUCUGCUCUUUCUGCCUUUCCUGGGCUGGGGGACCCCUGGAUUCCCCAUUGAAUCACAAGGUUUGUGGGGAGUCGCGAUUCCCCCCCAGCUGUUCCCCUUGCUUGUAAGCCCUGUGUUUGCGGGGGGCCCAGCUGCUGUGACCCCCCCUGCGCCAGGGCCGGUUCUGUUACUGGCACCGGGUCUGUAGCGAUGUGAGCUGCGGCUUCAAUAAAGGGUCAGACA